rnacentral:rRNA from 1 species
CGAGAUCUUCGGAUCUAGCGGCGGACGGGUUAGUAACGCGUGGGAACGUACCCAAAGGUAGGGAAUAGCCACUGGAAACGGUGAGUAAUACCCUAUGUGCCCUUCGGGGGAGAGAUUUAUCGCCUUUGGAUCGGCCCGCGUUAGAUUAGAUAGUUGGUGGGGUAACGGCCUACCAAGUCUACGAUCUAUAGCUGGUUUUAGAGGAUGAUCAGCAACACUGGGACUGAGACACGGCCCAGACUCCUACGGGAGGCAGCAGUGGGGAAUCUUGGACAAUGGGGGCAACCCUGAUCCAGCCAUGCCGCAUGAGUGAUGAAGGCCCUAGGGUCGUAAAGCUCUUUCGCCUGUGAAGAUAAUGACUGUAGCAGGUAAAGAAACCCCGGCUAACUCCGUGCCAGCAGCCGCGGUAAUACGGAGGGGGUUAGCGUUGUUCGGAAUUACUGGGCGUAAAACGCGCGUAGGCGGACUGGAAAGUUGGGGGUGAAAUCCCAGGGCUCAACCCUGGAACUGCCUCCAAAACUAUCAGUCUAGAGUUCGAGAGAGGUGAGUGGAAUUCCGAGUGUAGAGGUGAAAUUCGUAGAUAUUCGGAGGAACACCAGUGGCGAAGGCGGCUCACUGGCUCGAUACUGACGCUGAGGUGCGAAAGUGUGGGGAGCAAACAGGAUUAGAUACCCUGGUAGUCCACACCGU